AUUGAACGCUGGCGGCAGGCUUAACACAUGCAAGUAGAGCGAGCGGCGCACGGGUGAGAAAUGUCGGGGAAACUGCCUGAUGGAGGGGGAUAACUACGGGAAACGGUAGCUAAUACCGCAUACCAUCAGAUGGGCACAGAUGGGAGUAGCUGGUAGGGGGGGUAAGGGCUCACCUAGGCGACGAUCCCUAGCUGGUCUGAGAGGAGGACCAGCCACACGGGAACGGGGCCCCGGUCCAGACUCCAACGGGGGUCAGCAUUGGGGAAUAUUGCACAAUGGGGGCAGGCCUGCUGCAGCCAUGCCGCUUGUGUGAAGAGGGCCUUCGGGUUGUAAAGCACUUUCAUCGAGGAGGCGUUACUCGCCGAAGAAGCACCGGCUAACUCCGUGCCAGCAGCCGCGGUAAUUC
rnacentral:rRNA from 1 species